rnacentral:rRNA from 1 species
CCUACGGGGGGCAGCAGUGGGGGAUAUUGCACAAUGGGGGGAACCCUGAUGCAGCGACGCCGCGUGGGUGAAGGAGCGUUUCGGCGCGUAAAGCCCUAUCGGCAGGGAAGAAGGAGGACGGUACCUGACCAAGAAGCCCCGGCUAACUACGUGCCAGCAGCCGCGGUAAUACGGAGGGGGCAAGCGUUAUCCGGAUUUACUGGGUGUAAAGGGGGCGCAGACGGGAGCGCAAGCCAGGAGUGAAAGCCCGGGGCCCAACCCCGGGACUGCUCUUGGAACUGGGCGGCUGGAGUGCAGGAGGGGCAGGCGGAAUUCCUGGUGUAGCGGUGAAAUGCGUAGAUAUCAGGAGGAACACCGGUGGCGAAGGCGGCCUGCUGGACUGCGACUGACGUUGAGGCCCGAAAGCGUGGGGAGCAAACAGGAUUAGAUACCCUUGUAGUC